AAUGAACGUUGGCGGCAUGGAUUAGGCAUGCAAGUCGAGCGAGAAGAGUUUUGAAGCUUGCUUUAGAACUCAGACAGCGGCGAAAGGGAGAGUAACGCGUAGUUAUGUGCCCUAGGGUCCGGAAUAGCCACGGGAAACUGUGGGUAAUGCCGGAUAACAUCCCCGGAUCAAAGGUGUGAUUCCGCCCUAGGAGCAGACUGCGUCCUACUAGCUAGUUGGUGGGGUAAUGGCCCACCAAGGCAAUGAUGGGUAGCGGGUGUGAGAGCAUGACCCGGCUCACUGGGACUGAGACACUGCCCAGACACCUACGGGUGGCUGCAGUCGAGAAUCUUCGGCAAUGGGCGAAAGCCUGACCGAGCGAUGCCGCGUGCGGGAUGAAGGCCCUCGGGUUGUAAACCGCUGUCGUAGGGGAGGAAGGUUCCGUGAAGAGCGGAAUUUGACCUAUCCUAGGAGGAAGUACGGGCUAAGUUCGUGCCAGCAGCCGCAGUAAGAC
rnacentral:rRNA from 1 species